CUUUAAAAUAUUAUAAAACACUAUUAAAACAUGCAAACAACAGCACAUGCAACAUUUACAAGUUUUAAAUAUACCUAGUUAAUGUAGAAAUUUAUACAUUUGAUGUACACUCAAAUUGCUAGCAUAUUGUCUAGAAAAUUUAACAACUCAGGAAGUACACACAAUCUUCCGUUUCUUCCUUGUUGAGGUUGUUGACAGAAGCUCCUCUGCACCACAAGUUGCAGAAAUAACAGUAUAAGGGGCUAACCGUGAUUCCCAAACUAACUGAAACUUCAUUGGCAUGGUUACGGAGCCCGCUAUUAUAUCGCCGAAUCCCAUGACGGGUAAUUCCCUUUUGUUAUCAUACUUGAAUUUUUCACCAGUUAGCAGUGUGAUUCGAAGUGAGUUUGUAGCCAAUGACGGGCAAAAUGCAGUUAUAUCUAUAAUAGUUCCAUCUUUCUGAAGUAGAGAUUUAGGGUGUUCACCAUACAAGGACAAGUUGCUCUCCAUCAUCCCUCUGUAUAGGUUCAGCACACGGAUCCAAAAUGGAACACUGAAAUUAUUCCUCAGAACAUUAGCAUAUAUGUUUAUGGCGACAAGUGACCCCUGCAAUGUUCUUGCUAUUUCCUUCCCUAUUAUCGCUAACCGGGGGUGAUCCAAUGGGUUCGAGCUUCCAAAUGCGAGAACGUUGAAAAGGUAGCUGUACUCCUCAUGUGAAAAGUUCCUAAGUUCAAUGGGGUUUACUGUCCCAAACCUUGCUAGUUUCUCAAGCCUACUUAUGAUUAUAACCUUGCUUCCGUUACCAGAGGAGGCUACUAAAGAAUAAAAAUUCAACCAUUCACAGUCACUUAUGUCUGAAAUAAAUUCAACAGUAAUUAAUGUCUUGAGAGGCAUAACCUUGCGUUCAUCAAAUUUCUUAAUAUCAUCGCCACCGAAAUGCAGAAUGGUAGAAAAGUGAGAGCGGAUCCUCUCAUCACUACAAACACUCCAAACUAGUGUCUUCUUACCUACUCUACAACCACCAAUUAUAGGCAGCACAGCUGGGAUCUUAGGAUGAUCAUCUAGCAUCAAUAUGCUCAUGAUUUGUUGCCUUUCGACCUGACGUCCAAACAUGAAGUUGUCAAUGUAAAGAUAGGUACUAUAUGGAUUGCGGAAUAUCCGUUCGCAUCCAUUUAGGAGUGAAACAAAUUCCUUUAGGUUAUCAAGAACGGUUUCUAAAUUUUCUAAUGAACUCUUCACCUCCCUGCUAACAAUUGUGCCACCAGAUAGAUGAAAGCGUCUUACAUAAUGGAAAUCCAGGGCAUAUGAGUCACUCACCUCCCCUGCUUCUUUAAUAAGCUCUAAGGGACCGUAAGUGUCAAAGACAUGGUAGCCUUUAUACAUAGCCUCUGUAAGCAUCUUGAGUUGCAUCAGCAUCCCUGCAUUUGUAAUGUAUCGUCCUUCUGCCUCCUCAACAACCAUAUGAACCCUUAGAAGAAGAUGUUGCAGUCUCUCAAGUUUGUUCUUCAAACAUGAGUUGUGUCCAUACUUACUGAUAAGGAAUGACAUGAAUCGGCUAAUGAUGUCACUCACUAAUGCAGAAAUGACAACAUCCAU
rnacentral:sRNA from 1 species